rnacentral:rRNA from 1 species
UACAGAGGUCCCGAGCGUUGUUCGGAUUCAUUGGGCGUAAAGGGUGCGUAGGCGGCGGGGCAAGUCUGAUGUGAAAUUCUGGGGCUCAACCCUGGAACUGCAUUGGAUACUGCCUUGCUAGAGAACUGGAGAGGAGACUGGAAUUUACGGUGUAGCAGUGAAAUGCGUAGAGAUCGUAAGGAAGACCAGUGGCGAAGGCGAGUCUCUGGACAGUUACUGACGCUGAGGCACGAAGGCCAGGGGAGCAAACGGG